rnacentral:rRNA from 1 species
UGUACCAGUUGUCGUGCCAACGGCAUAGCUGGGUAGCUAUGUAUGGACGGGAUAAGUGCUGAAAGCAUCUAAGCAUGAAGCCCCCCUCAAGAUGAGAUUUCCCAACUUCGGUUAUAAGAUCUCUCGAAGAUGACGAGGUUAAUAGGUUCGAGGUGGAAGCGUGGUGACACGUGGAGCUGACGAAUACUAAUCGAUCGAAGACUUAAUCAA